rnacentral:rRNA from 1 species
CGGGUAGUUAAGUCAGAAGUGAAAUCCAAUAGCUCAACUAUUGAACUGCUUUUGAAACUGAUUACCUAGAAUAUGGGAGAGGUAGAUGGAAUUUCUGGUGUAGGGGUAAAAUCCGUAGAGAUCAGAAGGAAUACCGAUUGCGAAGGCGAUCUACUGGAACAUUAUUGACGCUGAGACGCGAAAGCGUGGGGAGCAAACAGGAUUAGAUACCCUGGUAGUCCACGCCCUAAACGAUGUACACUAGUUGUUGUGAGGCUCGACCUUGCAGUAAUGCAGUUAACACAUUAAGUGUACCGCCUGGGGAGUACGGUCGCAAGAUUAAAACUCAAAGGAAUAGACGGGGACCCGCACAAGCGGUGGAGCAUGUGGUUUAAUUCGACGAUACACGAAGAACCUUACCUGGACUUGACAUAGUAAGAACUUUCUAGAGAUAGAUUGGUGUCUGCUUGCAGAAACUUAUAUACAGGUGCUGCACGGCUGUCGUCAGCUCGUGUCGUGAGAUGUUGGGUUAAGUCCCGCAACGAGCGCAACCCUCGUCAUUAGUUGCUAACAGUUCGGCUGAGAACUCUAAUGAGACUGCCUACGCAAGUAGGAGGAAGGUGAGGACGACGCCAAGUCAUCAUGGCCCUUACGUCCAGGGCUACACACGUGCUACAAUGGGGUAUACAAAGAGCCGCAGUACGGUGACGUGGAGCAAAUCUCAAAAAUAUCUCCCAGUUCGGAUUGUAGUCUGCAACUCGACUACAUGAAGUUGG